GAGAUGAUGGCUCAGAGGUUAAGAGCACUGGAUGCUCCUCCAGAGGACCUGAGUUCAAAUCCCAGCAACCACA
rfam:Mesocricetus auratus contig151137, whole genome shotgun sequence.